GGAGGUAGUGACAAUAAAUCACAAUGCGGAACAAUGUUUUGCAAUUGGAUUGAGAACAACGUACAAACCUUAUCGAUAAACAAUUGGAGGGCAAGUCUGGUGCCAGCAGUCGCGGUAAUUCCAGCUCCAAUAGCGUAUAUUAACGUUGUUGCAGUUAAAAAGCUCGUAGUUGAAACGAAGGGUGGUGUUGUUGGAUUUACAUUCGUGUAUUUCUUUCAACUCCUCCCUCCUUCUAAAUUCGAUAUAUGAGUAUUAAUUUACUUGUAUAUGGUUUUAGACAUUUACUGUGAGAAAAUUAGAGUGUUCAAAGCAGGCAUUUGCUUGAAUAUAUUAGCAUGGAAUAAUCAUGUAUGAUUUUCAUGAUGUAUUUGAUUGGUUUGGUUCAUGAGAAUAAGAUUAAAAGGGACAGUUGGGGGUAUUCAUAUUCAAUAGUCAGAGGUGAAAUUCUCGGAUUUAUGGAAGAUGAACAAGUGCGAAAGCA
rnacentral:rRNA from 1 species